UGUAAGCGUAUACCAAAGUUGUUGCAGUUAAAACGCUCGUAGUCGGAAUUUGGCAGUUCCGGAAGUGUGCACGUCGUGUGCGCACUUUGCGGGGACUGCUUUUGUGGUCUUGCGUAGGAUGAGGCACUUUCAUUAGUGAACGUCCUCACGCAACCACUCUUUACUGUGAGAAAAUCAGAGUGCCCAAAGCAGGCAUUUGCCGUGAAUGUAUUAGCAUGGAAUAAUAGAAUAGGACUCGGUUCUAUUUUGUUGGUUUGUUGGGACUGAGUAAUGAUUAAGAGGGACAGUUGGGGGCAUUUGUAUUCCGGCGCUAGAGGUGAAAUUCUUAGAUUGCCGGAAGACAAACUGCUGCGAAAGCGUCUGCCAAGGAUGUUUUCAUUGA
rnacentral:rRNA from 1 species